AAGGAUUUAAGUUAAAAAAACUAUCAGCCUUCAAAGCUGAAAAUAAAUUUGGGUUUAAGCCUUA
rnacentral:tRNA from 1 species